GUGCAGAGAGUUUGAGUUUAGGGCUUUCUUCCCCUUGUGAAGGGCACUAGCUGGGCCCCAGGGUUCUGUUGUCUUGGAGUGCUCUCUGUUACAGAGAUGUUUUCUGAAGAUCUGAGUCUAAAUUGUACUUAGUCUGGGACAGUGCAGGCUGAGAGACUCUGGAGAGCUUUGCAGUUCCCUGGCCAAACUUUGAGGAGGAGGGAAGGAGGAUGCUGAGGUGCAGAGACCCACUGAAGGCUCCUAGGAAGCAGAGCAGAAGAGGACCUUGUGCUGCAGGGCCACCAUGACCAGAAGAUUAAACAGCCCCAGGUCCCUCAGCCUCUCCUCAUCAGGCAGUGCUCCAGUCCAGUCGCCAGCAACACAGGGGUGUCCCUAACAUCAUAGUGGUCUUCAGUGCCUCUCAGUAUCCACAGCCUUUACUGUCAAAAUCCUGGGUCUUCAACUCCUUCAAGUUUUAGCCUGGUGUUGCACAAGAUGAUUUAGUUACAGAGAAACAACAAUUUGGUCCCUUGCUGAUAACUUCUAUUGUCUCAAUCUAGCUACAUAAGAAUGAGGCUGGACUUGAACAGAUCACAGCCGGAAUCAAUCCCAACCACCUCUCCAGCAAUCAGAACAAGUUGCUGGGAGCUGAGUAACAGCUGGAUUCUUGGUGAGAGAAAUUACAGGCAUAAACCCAAG